rnacentral:rRNA from 1 species
UAUUAGGCUUCGGGGGAUACUGCCAGACUUGGAACCGGGAGAGGUAAGAGGUACUACAGGGGUAGGAGUGAAAUCUUGUAAUCCCUGUGGGACCACCUGUGGCGAAGGCGUCUUACCAGAACGGGUUCGACGGUGAGGGACGAAAGCUGGGGGCACGAACCGGAUUAGAUACCCGGGUAGUCCCAGCCGUAAACGAUGCUCGCUAGGUGUCAGGCAUGGCGCGACCGUGUCUGGUGCCGCAGGGAAGCCGUGAAGCGAGCCACCUGGGAAUACGGCCGCAAGGCUGAACUUAAGGAAUUGCGGGGAGCACAACAACGGGUGGAGCCUGCCGGUUUAAUUGGACUCAACGCCGGACAACUCACCGGGGGCGACAGCAAUAUGUAGGCCAAGCUGAAGACUUUGCCUGAAUCGCUGAGAGGAGAAGAGGUGCAUGG